CUAAUACAUGCAAGUCGAGCGGACAGAAGGGAGCUUGCUCCCGGAUGUUAGCGGCGGACGGGUGAGUAACACGUGGGUAACCUGCCUGUAAGACUGGGAUAACUCCGGGAAACCGGAGCUAAUACCGGAUAGUUCCUUGAACCGCAUGGUUCAAGGAUGAAAGACGGUUUCGGCUGUCACUUACAGAUGGACCCGCGGCGCAUUAGCUAGUUGGUGGGGUAAUGGCUCACCAAGGCGACGAUGCGUAGCCGACCUGAGAGGGUGAUCGGCCACACUGGGACUGAGACACGGCCCAGACUCCUACGGGAGGCAGCAGUAGGGAAUCUUCCGCAAUGGACGAAAGUCUGACGGAGCAACGCCGCGUGAGUGAUGAAGGUUUUCGGAUCGUAAAGCUCUGUUGUUAGGGAAGAACAAGUGCGAGAGUAACUGCUCGCACCUUGACGGUACCUAACCAGAAAGCCACGGCUAACUACGUGCCAGCAGCCGCGGUAAUACGUAGGUGGCAAGCGUUGUCCGGAAUUAUUGGGCGUAAAGGGCUCGCAGGCGGUUUCUUAAGUCUGAUGUGAAAGCCCCCGGCUCAACCGGGGAGGGUCAUUGGAAACUGGGAAACUUGAGUGCAGAAGAGGAGAGUGGAAUUCCACGUGUAGCGGUGAAAUGCGUAGAGAUGUGGAGGAACACCAGUGGCGAAGGCGACUCUCUGGUCUGUAACUGACGCUGAGGAGCGAAAGCGUGGGGAGCGAACAGGAUUAGAUACCCUGGUAGUCCACGCCGUAAACGAUGAGUGCUAAGUGUUAGGGGGGUUUCCGCCCCUUAGUGCUGCAGCUAACGCAUUAAGCACUCCGCCUGGGGAGUACGGUCGCAAGACUGGAACUCAAAGGAAUUAGACAGGCGGCCCG
rnacentral:rRNA from 2 species